rnacentral:snRNA from 1 species
ACUCAUACCUUGUAGGGGAAAUACCAUGUUGUAAAAAUGGUUUUCCCAAGGAGAGGCUUAUCCAUUGCACUUUGGGUGUGCUGUUGACCCCUGUGAUUUCCCCAAAUGUGAAGAACUCAACUACAUAAUUUGUGUUAAUGGUGGCAUUAU